rnacentral:tRNA from 1 species
GGGCCGCAGUUAACAGCCAUAACCCCUUGAAUAAAGAGAUGUAUUCUCGUUUACACCGAGAGGGUCAGCGGUUCGAGCCCGUUACCGCCCACCA